UACGUAGGGUGCGAGCGUUAAUCGGAAUUACUGGGCGUAAAGCGUGCGCAGGCGGUUUUGUAAGCCAGGUGUGAAAGCCCCGGGCUCAACCUGGGAAUGGCAUUUGGGACUGCAAGGCUGGAGUAUGGCAGAGGAGACUAGAAUUCCUGGUGUAGCAGUGAAAUGCGUAGAUAUCAGGAGGAAUACCGAUGGCGAAGGCAGGUCUCUGGGCCAAUACUGACGCUCAUGCACGAAAGCGUGGGGAGCAAACAGG
rnacentral:rRNA from 1 species